rfam:Erinaceus europaeus unplaced genomic scaffold scaffold00127, whole genome shotgun sequence
AAAAAGGGCUUCUGUUGUGUGUGACACACGUAGGGCAGCGCGUUUGCUCUACGUGUGGAAUCGACAUCAAGAGAUUUCAGAAGCAUGUUUUUUGUGGAUUGGGCAGCUGGUGAUUGUUGGUCCUGGCACCCUA